UAUCUUCCCUUUAUCGCGCGAUCGCCUAUAUCGGACGGGCCGGGUUCGCCCGGCUAUAGCGAUAAAAUGUUGCGUGUCAUAGACGCAGCGGACCCGGGGGCAGUACCCGGCGGCUCCACCAAAACCGGUUGCCCUUUCAGGGCGCGACCGGUCCUGACGGGGCCGAACUAGGAUCGACGUGUGUUGAACGACGCAGCUUUCGCUCGGCAUGGGUCCACCGCAACGGCCCAUAACAUAAAUGCCAACGAUAACGAGGCAUUCGCGAUUGCUGCCUAACUGAUACCCUCACGGGUGGACGUUAAGUAGGCCAAAAGCGCGGUUGGACGCACCGGGCAACAGAAGCGUUACG
rnacentral:tmRNA from 1 species